ACACUGGCUCAGUCGGUAGAGCAUGAGACUCUUAAUCUCAGGGCUGUGGGUUUGAGCCCCACGUUGAACA